GACGAACGCUGGCGGCGUGCCUAACACAUGCAAGUCGAGCGAUGAAGUUUCCUUCGGGAAAUGGAUUAGCGGCGGACGGGUGAGUAACACGUGGGUAACCUGCCUCAUAGAGGGGAAUAGCCUCCCGAAAGGGAGAUUAAUACCGCAUAAUAUUACAGUGUCGCAGGAAACAUUAAUUAAAGGGGCAAUCCGCUAUGAGAUGGACCCGCGGUGCAUUAGCUAGUUGGUAAGGUAACGGCUCACCAAGGCGACGAUGCGUAGCCGACCUUAGAGGGUGAUCGGCCACAUUGGGACUGAGACACGGCCCAGACUCCUACGGGAGGCAGCAGUGGGGAAUAUUGCACAAUGGGGGAAACCCUGAUGCAGCAACGCCGCGUGAGUGAUGACGGUCUUCGGAUUGUAAAGCUCUGUCUUUGGGGACGAUAAUGACGGUACCCAUGGAGGAAGGCCCGGCUAACUACGUGCCAGCCGCCGCGGUAAAAC
rnacentral:rRNA from 1 species